AAUCAUUCACGACUUUUCACGCGUGGCGGCGCUGCGGUUCCAUAAGUGGUUACUUGAACGCUUCAAUCACGUAAAACGCUUGCAUCUGUAUUUACAACGUAAACAAUGCCAAUGGCAUCCGAUGAUUACAUCACCUGGUCUGUUCCAGAACUAACGUUACGUGGAGCUGUCACAAGAGACAGAAAUAUAGAUCUUAUAGAAAGAAUCAAUUAGAAGAGCCAAAAUUUAUAAGCUUAGAUUCAAAACAUUCUGGAGGAGCAGAUUGUGUGAAGAAGCCAGCAG